rnacentral:rRNA from 1 species
UACGUAGGGUGCAAGCGUUAAUCGGAAUUAUUGGGCGUAAAGGGUGCGCAGGCGGUUGUAUAAGUCAGAUGUGAAAUCCCUGGGCUUAACCUAGGAAUUGCGUUUGAAACUAUAUAACUAGAGUGUGACAGAGGGGAGUGGAAUUCCAUGUGUAGCAGUGAAAUGCGUAGAGAUGUGGAAGAACACCGAUGGCGAAGGCAGCUCCCUGGGUUAACACUGACGCUCAGGCACGAAAGCGUGGGGAGCAAACAGGAUUAGAAACCCCAGUAGUCC